UCUUAUCACCCACUGCUGAGAGGAAUUAGCAGACCCUCCAUGCCCAGCAAAGCACUCUUUGAAGACUCAUAUAUGGUUCACUGUAUGGGGAAUGAUAUGCAAGCUGAAGGACUGGAAAAUAGCAGAAAACUGACAGUAGUUUCUAUCCAUAAUGGAUGGAGUCAUGUGUGCCACUGCAGCCAAUGAUGGGCACAGUGGUGAAGUCACGUGCCACUUAUGGGACAUGUCACCUCUUCAGUCCGUAAUUGGAUGUGACCCUGUCCAUUUGAUUUUACUUGUGGGGAGCACACUCACAAUGGUGUACAAUAGGAGCCGGAACGGUGCACUUGGAAGUAGCAGGAGAACAAUCCCAAACAUACAGCCAAUGUCUUUAAGAACAGCAUAAAGAACAACAAGGAGUUCUGGAAGUGAAGAUAUGGCCACCACAGAGCCCCGAUCUCAACAUCAUUCAAUCUGUUUGGGAUUACAUGAAGAGACAGAAGGAUUUGAGCACGGCUACCUCCACAAGAUCUGUGGUUGCUUGAAACAACCUCCAUGCCAAGUUCCUUCAAAAACGGUGUGCAAGUGUACCUAGAAGAAUUCAUGCUGUUUUGAAGGCAAAGAACCUUCACACCAAAUAUGGAUUGGAUUUAGAUUUCUCUUUUGUUUAUUCACUUUGCAUUUCGUUAAUUGAUAAAAAAAAACAAUCUAUUACCACUUCUAUUUUUGAAAGCAUUCUUACUUUGCAUCAUUUUUUCCACUACUGGCUGAAACUAAGACCACAAGUGCUAAGACCAUAGAAGACUUGUGCUUGGGGGAACUAGAAAAACUGAACACAGAAAUUUGGAUGCAGAACAAUGGCACUAUGACACAGAGCCUCUGAAAAAGAUGGCAUGAUGCCACUUGAUAACACAACCAACACUGAACAACGCCGUGAAUAUGCUGAAGAUGAUGGGUCUUAUCAUAGUCAUUUCUGAGUCUGCCUUAUUUCCCUACAAACAAACGUGAUGCUGUUUCUAAAAAUUUCAAAAAAAAUAUAAAAAUAAAAAAACCUGCAAAUUA